rnacentral:rRNA from 1 species
GACCCUACGGGGCGCAGCAGUGGGGAAUAUUGCACAAUGGGGGAAACCCUGAUGCAGCGAUGCCGCGUGGAGGAAGAAGGUUUUCGGAUUGUAAACUCCUUUUAUCAGGGACGAUAAUGACGGUACCUGAAGAAAAAGCUCCGGCUAACUACGUGCCAGCAGCCGCGGUAAUACGUAGGGGGCAAGCGUUAUCCGGAUUUACUGGGUGUAAAGGGAGCGUAGACGGCUGUGCAAGUCUGAAGUGAAAUGCCGGGGCUCAACCCCGGAACUGCUUUGGAAACUGUACAGCUCGAGU